UACGUAGGGUGCGAGCGUUAAUCGGAAUUACUGGGCGUAAAGCGUGCGCAGGCGGUUCGUUGUGUCGGUGGUGAAAUCCCCGGGCUUAACCUGGGAAUGGCCAUGGAAACUGGCGAACUGGAGUGCGGCAGAGGGGGGUGGAAUUCCGCGUGUAGCAGUGAAAUGCGCAGAUAUCAGGAGGAACACCAAUGGCGAAGGCAGCACUCUGGGACGUGACUGACGCUGAGACGCGAAAGCGUGGGGAGCAAACAGG
rnacentral:rRNA from 1 species